rnacentral:rRNA from 1 species
AUUGAACGCUGGCGGAAUGCUUUACACAUGCAAGUCGAACGGCAGCACGGGGGCAACCCUGGUGGCGAGUGGCGAACGGGUGAGUCAUACAUCGGAACGUGCCCAGUCGUGGGGGAUAACGUAGCGAAAGUUACGCUAAUACCGCAUACGAUCUACGGAUGAAAGCGGGGGACCGUAAGGCCUCGCGCGAUUGGAGCGGCCGAUGUCAGAUUAGGUAGUUGGGGAGGUAAAGGCUCACCAAGCCGACGAUCUGUAGCUGGUCUGAGAGGACGACCAGCCACACUGGGACUGAGACACGGCCCAGACUCCUACGGGAGGCAGCAGUGGGGAAUUUUGGACAAUGGGCGCAAGCCUGAUCCAGCCAUUCCGCGUGCAGGACGAAGGCCUUCGGGUUGUAAACUGCUUUUGUACGGAACGAAAAGGCUCUGGUUAAUACCUGGGGCUCAUGACGGUACCGUGAGAAUAAGCACCGGCUAACUACGUGCCAGCCGCCGCCGUAA